ACUUUAGGGUUAUGAGAUUUUUCAUUUUAAAGAUUUAAUUCGAAUAAAAUGUAAUCAUUGGUUGUAUGGCGCUGAUAGCAGUAGAUUACAAGGGAAUGAACAUAAUUUGAGAAGCCUUUUUUAUGAUUAAGUAUGUGGUAUUGAGUAUAUCUUGGUAUAAAUUUGAUGUUGUGCAAGUUUUCUUUUUGAAAUCUGACUUUUUCUAAACUAAUCUCUUACUUCUUGCGGGGUUUGUUGUUGAUCCUGAUCUUUGUUCUAUGGAAUUUUACACUAGGUAAUUCAGAUGAAUCCUUCCUUCACAAUAGUGCUUUUCCUCCAAGUAGGAUUCAUUAAUUAUUGCUGCGGUGAACUCGCAAAAGAUCUUAUUAAAAUUCAAGAAAAAUAUGAUCCAUCAACAUACCUUCCCAAAAGUGACUUAGAAUUACUCAAUGAAGCAUUCAAGGGUAUCGCUAAUGAAAAACUUGAGGAUACAUUAGCCAAACGUUUGAUUGAACAAAGAAUACUUAUACUCGAGUCUGUGAGUACGAAUACAAACAAAUAUACAUUACAUUAGUUACUUAUUAUCUACCUAACAAUCCUUUACUACUAGUCUCGGUAAUGGUAUGCCUACCAAGGCCCUAGUUGACCGAUGUGGUUGUAAGUCGUAACAUGGGAGAGCGUCCGUUGUUGGUUUAUAAGUUUAUUGCAACCUAUCGCGUACUUAGCCACUGAAAAUAAGGCCUACAAUCUGCUUUGAUGUUUGGAAUGGGCACAACAUCCAUCCAUCUAGAAUAUCUGUCAAUCAUUAUAAGCAGGUAUUUUUGGCCAUAGCUUUUUGGAAAAUGGACCAACAAUAUCAAUGUGAACUCGUUCAAAUUUUUCAGAUGGUGGAAAUGCCUGGUAGCUAGAUAGAGUGUGUUUUGUGAUUUUGGCUUUUUGGCAAAGGUCACAACUUUGAGCCCAGUUACGAAUUUGUUUUCUUAUUUCCAGGCUUGUUAACCGAAAACAAAAUAUUUCUGGUUAGGUUUACAGUUAAAAAUUAAACAAGAAAUUCAAAAUUUUGGUUAAAGGUUACGGUUAAGGUUAUUCAUUUUCUAAAGUUACAGUUAAGGUUCAGGUUACGGUUACUGAUGACCAUUUUUUUCAGUUAAUGGUUAAGGUUAAGGUUACGGUUUUUGGUGGUAAUUUUUCCAGUUGAGCUCAU